GAGAAGAGGGCUGUGGUCCAAGCCAAUUGCUGGUAGAGCCUGUACUUCAGCUACGGGAAAGGUAAUUCUCCAGUCCAAUGUGCAUAAGACUAUCUAAUCUUUUUUUAACAAGGACCUCCCCUUCCCGGUUGUUUGCCCAAGUGUAAGCACAGCAUUUGUUGUCCAUAUCCAUUUGCCAUGAUCUAUAAUCUUCAUAGUUGUGUCUACUAGUUCUUUUGGUGCCUCCUGCACAUUUGAGUUUUCAGCCCUUUUCUUGUUGCGAUUUGGGGAUGCCAAGUUGUCGAUUUCAUCUCUAGCCACUAGGUCCAUUUCGUAGGUUAUAGGAGGAAUUUCUAGUGCCGUUUCUUCCACAGUAAUUUCUUCUUCUAGUUUUCCAUAGAAUGCUUCCCAGUGGGGGCUAUGGUCUUACACUUUCGCCUUAAGCCAUGGUCCAUAUUUUCCAGCUUUGUUUUCAGCCCAUGAUGUUUGCUCAUACAGGAUUUCUUCGCAGUUAGUAGCAUAAUGACCAAUUUUUCCACAUGAAUAGCAAUAGUGCGGCAGCCGUUCAUAUUUAAACUCCACCCAUAGCUUCUUGUUUCCAAUAUCUAGAAUAGCCCAUGAUUUUAGUGGAGCUGAUAAGUCCACUUCCACUUUUACUUUUCCACUUUUAUGUAGUCCAUUUCCCUUAAAGUCCACCUGAAUUUCCAGAACUUUGCCUACCUUUUUUACUAGAUCAGUAAACACUUCUUCUAGUAUCCACCCAGGGGGUAUCCCUCUCAUAUGCACCCAAAAAGCGCAUCGAGAAUAAUCAUAACAGUGCUCUGGAAUGUCAAGUUUACAUUGUUUAAGUACUAAUAGAUUACUGGCAAAAGACCAGGGCCCGGAUUUCAUAACUCUCUCAUUUUCCUCCUUCAAUUGAAAAACGAAUAAGAAAAAACCUGAUUCCUUUUGUGUGCAUAUCACCGAUUCUGUUCUCCAUGCUUUCUUCAUAAUUUGAAGAAAAGCUUGGAAGUUGACAUUUGGUUUGGAGAAUAGCUUCCCGAAAAUGGUCUAAUUGCAUUGUUCCCUUUUUUUUUUGGGGGGAUUUCUUUGAUCACUUCGACUACAUCAUUUUCCGACCACAGAUGGCCCAGGUUUUUACAUAAGGCACCCGAACGCAACUCAUUCUCUUCUUUACCUUCCAUUCUUCUGAUUUGCAGGUAUGAAGUUUGCUGCUGGCUGUAAUCUUGCUAAGUGGGUUUUUGAGAUUUUGGAGGGGAGGUCUAUAGGAAAUGCAGAUUGAAGGGAGCUCUGUGAUGGAAGGGUGUAUCAAGUAACGGGAAGACAAAAACAACCAAGGGAAUGAUCCACUUCCUCUGAUUCAGCCUUUUAUCUCAAUAGAGAAUAAGUAAUGCUUUACAAGAGUGGAGCUCAGGCCAGUAACAAGACCAACACAGAUCAAACGAGGCAAGACCCUUUCUAUUUACUACAUAACAGUCUACUUCCAUCUAGGUAUUUCGAGAAAAAACGUCAAAACCCAUUCCGCUACAUCAUAAUCAGAAUACCCAUAAGAUGACCAUGAAGAGAAGGGCGACAUCCCACCUUUCGCGAGGCCAGAGCUAUGAUUCAUCAAGCAUUGUUAGAAUUCUCUGAAGAUAGAUGGCAAGAUUGUUCCAUUGCUCGAGACUUCACCUUUUUACAGAGAAAGAUAGUAGGGUUGGGUUUCUAAGGAUUAUGUGAUGGGCUUCAUUGGUUCAAAGAGGGGGAUCAUGGUUUUGGGUAAAGGAAAGCUCCUGGAGAUUUAGGGUUUUGGGGGGUAGCUACCACCAUGGAUAGAGGAAAACUCUCAAAGUUGAGAGAGAAAGGGAUUGCUCUUCAAUGGGAAUUUAGAGUUGAGAUGAUAAAAAUAUGAUUGAUUAGCAUUGAAUGUGGCAUUG
rnacentral:lncRNA from 1 species